ACGCUCGACACCUACGGGAGACAGCAGUGAGGAAUAUUGGUCAAUGGGCGCAGGCCUGAACCAGCCAAGUAGCGUGAAGGAUGACUGCCCUAUGGGUUGUAAACUUCUUUUAUAUGGGAAUAAAGUUUUCCACGUGUGGAAUUUUGUAUGUACCAUAUGAAUAAGGAUCGGCUAACUCCGUGACAGCAGCCGCGGUAAUCUGAGCGGGCUGGCAAGGC
rnacentral:rRNA from 1 species